rnacentral:sRNA from 1 species
CGAGCAGUCAUGCUUCCGUUCGUGGAAGGC